ACACGGCGGGUGCUAACGUCCGUCGUGAAGAGGGAAACAACCCAGACCGCCAGCUAAGGUCCCAAAGUCAUGGUUAAGUGGGAAACGAUGUGGGAAGGCCCAGACAGCCAGGAUGUUGGCUUAGAAGCAGCCAUCAUUUAAAGAAAGCGUAAUAGCUCACUGGUCGAGUCGGCCUGCGCGGAAGAUGUAACGGGGCUAAACCAUGCACCGAAGCUGCGGCAGCGACGCUUAUGCGUUGUUGGGUAGGGGAGCGUUCUGUAAGCCUGUGAAGGUGUGCUGUGAGGCAUGCUGGAGGUAUCAGAAGUGCGAAUGCUGACAUAAGUAACGAUAAAGCGGGUGAAAAGCCCGCUCGCCGGAAGACCAAGGGUUCCUGUCCAACGUUAAUCGGGGCAGGGUGAGUCGACCCCUAAGGCGAGGCCGAAAGGCGUAGUCGAUGGGAAACAGGUUAAUAUUCCUGUACUUGGUGUUACUGCGAAGGGGGGACGGAGAAGGCUAUGUUGGCCGGGCGACGGUUGUCCCGGUUUAAGCGUGUAGGCUGGUUUUCCAGGCAAAUCCGGAAAAUCAAGGCUGAGGCGUGAUGACGAGGCACUACGGUGCUGAAGCAACAAAUGCCCUGCUUCCAGGAAAAGCCUCUAAGCAUCAGGUAACAUCAAAUCGUACCCCAAACCGACACAGGUGGUCAGGUAGAGAAUACCAAGGCGCUUGAGAGAACUCGGGUGAAGGAACUAGGCAAAAUGGUGCCGUAACUUCGGGAGAAGGCACGCUGAUAUGUAGGUGAAGUCCCUCGCGGAUGGAGCUGAAAUCAGUCGAAGAUACCAGCUGGCUGCAACUGUUUAUUAAAAACACAGCACUGUGCAAACACGAAAGUGGACGUAUACGGUGUGACGCCUGCCCGGUGCCGGAAGGUUAAUUGAUGGGGUCAGCGCAAGCGAAGCUCUUGAUCGAAGCCCCGGUAAACGGCGGCCGUAACUAUAACGGUCCUAAGGUAGCGAAAUUCCUUGUCGGGUAAGUUCCGACCUGCACGAAUGGCGUAAUGAUGGCCAGGCUGUCUCCACCCGAGACUCAGUGAAAUUGAACUCGCUGUGAAGAUGCAGUGUACCCGCGGCAAGACGGAAAGACCCCGUGAACCUUUACUAUAGCUUGACACUGAACAUUGAGCCUUGAUGUGUAGGAUAGGUGGGAGGCUUAGAAGUGUGGACGCCAGUCUGCAUGGAGCCGACCUUGAAAUACCACCCUUUAAUGUUUGAUGUUCUAACGUUGACCCGUAAUCCGGGUUGCGGACAGUGUCUGGUGGGUAGUUUGACUGGGGCGGUCUCCUCCUAAAGAGUAACGGAGGAGCACGAAGGUUGGCUAAUCCUGGUCGGACAUCAGGAGGUUAGUGCAAUGGCAUAAGCCAGCUUGACUGCGAGCGUGACGGCGCGAGCAGGUGCGAAAGCAGGUCAUAGUGAUCCGGUGGUUCUGAAUGGAAGGGCCAUCGCUCAACGGAUAAAAGGUACUCCGGGGAUAACAGGCUGAUACCGCCCAAGAGUUCAUAUCGACGGCGGUGUUUGGCACCUCGAUGUCGGCUCAUCACAUCCUGGGGCUGAAGUAGGUCCCAAGGGUAUGGCUGUUCGCCAUUUAAAGUGGUACGCGAGCUGGGUUUAGAACGUCGUGAGACAGUUCGGUCCCUAUCUGCCGUGGGCGCUGGAGAACUGAGGGGGGCUGCUCCUAGUACGAGAGGACCGGAGUGGACGCAUCACUGGUGUUCGGGUUGUCAUGCCAAUGGCACUGCCCGGUAGCUAAAUGCGGAAGAGAUAAGUGCUGAAAGCAUCUAAGCACGAAACUUGCC
rnacentral:rRNA from 1 species